rnacentral:precursor_RNA from 14 species
GCUCCCCUGCGGUGUCGCUACUCUGCUGUUAUUUUUUUAGGUUUUGAUUUUUAUUGCAUCUUCAUGCGAAAAUCAAAACCUAAAGAAAAUGCUGCAAAGAUAGAUUAUUCUGCUGUUGGAU